CCCACAUUGAGUUCCGAGUUCCACAUUCCACUGUCUCUUGCCAGAGACAAGUAUUUCACAAGCAGUGUCUCCUUUGCAGAAGGGGUCCACUGAGGAAAACACUGUUAUCUAGGCUAGUAUUCCCAUUAGGAACUUUUCUUUUUCUUUUCUUUUUUUUUUUUGCUAUGUGUAGAAUUUCUAACUGUACCAGUGGAUUUUCCUCUAAAGACAAAAUAGAAAGAUUUAGUUGUAUAGCGUAGCAUGUAGGCAAGACAUCCAUGAGAGCAUUCACAGAUUGCUCACCCUGGGAAAAGCCAGCUGCCAUGUUAUGAGGCAUCCCUGUGGAGAGAUCUCGAUAUAAAGAGCAUAUGAAAAGCAGGUUGGGACUGGUGAGAAGACUGUGUAGUUGGACUGGUAAUUGUUUUUCUGUUUAAAUGACAACAAACUCCUCAAACCGUGAGGCCAGGUCUUCCUGAGGCCAGAUGGAGCAAUUGAAGCUUCAAGAAGCUAAGUGACUUUUUCAAGAUCAUACUGAGAAUGGGACAGGUGGCACACCACAAGCUCCUGUGGGGCAGUUACACAAGCUGGCCUAUUAUUUGAAGAAGGACUGCAAAGAUUCAGAGCAAUUUGCUUUGGGAAAAAUGACAUCAGAAGUGAUAUUCAAUUACUCCUUUUAGAUGGAUUUCCAGAGAGACUGACUUUGUUCAUGAGCAACGACACAUCUUCUACACAGAUGGAUGGGAAGAAAGAAGAGAGAGGUGUAGACAAAGAUACAUUUCUAAGUGUGUUUGCAAGGGGGCCAGGAGGCAGACAGCAUGUGACCUGGGGUCCUCUGUGUUCUCUGUACAGCAGGAGAUGAGAACAUGCUGAGUGUUGGAGAAGUGGUGGUCAUCCCACUUGCUGUCCUGUGAUCCCCCACCCCACCUCUGGGACGUUGCCUCUUUUUGCUCUUGUAUCUUCAAUGCCUUUCUUCCUACCAGUUCUUCCAUUCAGCUGGUUAACAACCCCAAGAUUCUUUUAUUCCUCCCUCCAAAAGUUCCCCUGACUCUCAUCCUUCAUUCCCUCUUUCUUGAAACUCUCUCCUACAUGGUUCCUGGGACACCGUAUUCUCUUGGUCUACCUUAUUAUCCUAUUCGAUCUCUAUUUUAUUUUUGAGUUCUUCUCAGACGCUCUUUCCCAGAUUUCUCUACCCUGUUUCUCCUCACUGACUGCUGCAGUCAGCCUCCUUGAAUGUAUGUCUCUCAAUUCUAGCUGCUGUCCUAAGCAAGGCUUGAGCAGAACACCAGGUAUUGAGUAUAAUUAAAAUAUGCUUAUCCUCUCAGAAAUCUAUGUUCAGAAGCACCCUUAAUCCUUUUGCUGCUUGCAUUACACUCAACCUUACAAAAUAAAGUGAUA
rnacentral:lncRNA from 1 species